AUUGAACGCUGGCGGCAUGCCUUACACAUGCAAGUCGAACGGCAGCACGGGUGCUUGCACCUGGUGGCGAGGGGCGGACGGGUGAGUAAUACAUCGGAACAUGUCCUGUAGUGGGGGAUAGCCCGGCGAAAGCCGGAUUAAUACCGCAUACGGUCUACGGAUGAAAGCGGGGGACCUUCGGGCCUCGCGCUAUAGGUUUGGCAGAUGGCUGAUUAGCUAGUUGGUGGGGUAAAGGCCUACCAAGGCGACGAUCAGUAGCUGCUCUGAGAGGACGACCAGCCACACUGGGACUGAGACACGGCCCAGACUCCUACGGGAGGCAGCAGUGGGGAAUUUUGGACAAUGGGCGAAAGCCUGAUCCAGCAAUGCCGCGUGUGUGAAGAAGGACUUCGGGUUGUAAAGCAAUUUUGUCCGGAAAGAAAUAAUUGGCUCUAAUACGGUCGGGGGAUGACGGUACCGGAAGAAUAAGCACCGGCUAACUACGUG
rnacentral:rRNA from 1 species